rnacentral:rRNA from 1 species
AUUGAACGCUGGCGGCAGGCCUAACACAUGCAAGUCGCACGAGUGGCGGACGGGUGAGUCAUGUCUGGGAAACUGCCUGAUGGAUGGGGAUAACUACUGUACACGGUAGCUAAUACCGCAUACCAUCGGAUGUGCCCAGAUGGGAUUAGCUAGUAGGUGGGGUAAAGGCUCACCUAGGCGACGAUCCCUACCUGGUCUGAGAGGAUGACCAGCAACACUGGAACUGAGACACGUGCCAGACUCCUACGGGAGGCAGCAGUGGGGAAUAUUGCACAAUGGGCGCAAGCCUGAUGCAGCCAUGCCGCGUGUAUGAAGAAGGCCUUCGGGUUGUAAAGUACUUUCAGCGGGGAGGCGUUACCCGCAGAAGAAGCACCGGCUAACUCCGUGCCAGCAGCCGCGGUAAUUC